AGUGAACGCUGGCGGCAGGCCUAACACAUGCAAGUCGAACGGCAGCACAGGAGAGCUUGCUCUCUGGGUGGCGAGUGGCGGACGGGUGAGGAAUAUAUCGGAAUCUACCCUUUCGUGGGGGAUAACGUAGGGAAACUUACGCUAAUACCGCAUACGAACUGAGGUUGAAAGCGGCGGACCGCAAGGCGUCGCGCGGAUGGAUGAGCCGAUAUCCGAUUAGCUAGUUGGCGGGGUAAAGGCCCACCAAGGCGACGAUCGGUAGCUGGUCUGAGAGGAUGAUCAGCCACACUGGAACUGAGACACGGUCCAGACUCCUACGGGAGGCAGCAGUGGGGAAUAUUGGACAAUGGGCGCAAGCCUGAUCCAGCCAUGCCGCGUGUGUGAAGAAGGCCUUCGGGUUGUAAAGCCUUUUGUUGGGAAAGAAAAGCGGUCGGUUAAUACCCGGUCGUUCUGAC
rnacentral:rRNA from 1 species